CAAUAGCGUAUAUUAAAGUUGUUGCGGUAAAAAAGCUCGUAGUUGGAUUUCUACCGAAGAUAGCCGGUCGGGUCUUCGACCUUGUAUCUGGUUUUGUCUUUGGUAUCCUCAUAGGGAACGUUUCUGCGCUUUAUUGCGUGGUGCGGUAUCUAUGACUUUUACUUUGAGGAAAUUAGAGUGUUCACGGCAGGCAAACGCCUUGAAUAUAUUAGCAUGGAAUAAUAACAUAGGAUCUUCGUCCUAUUUUGUUAGUUUCUAGGGCUAAGAUAAUGAUUAAUAGGGAUAAUUGGGGGCAUCUGUAUCAACGCGUCAGAGGUGGAAUUCUUGGAUUGCGUUGCGACAAACUACUGCGAAAGCAUUUGCCAAGGAUGUUUUCAUUGA
rnacentral:rRNA from 1 species